AUUGAACGCUGGCGGCAGGCCUAACACAUGCAAGUCGAACGAGUGGCGGACGGGUGAGUAAUGUCUGGGAAACUGCCUGAUGGAGGGGGAUAACUACUGGAAACGGUAGCUAAUACCGCAUACCAUCAGAUGUGCCCAGAUGGGAUUGGCUAGUGGGUGGGGUAACGGCUCACCAAGGCCACGGUCCCUAGCUGGUCUGAGAGGAUGACCGGCCACAUGGGAACGGGGAAACGGUCCAGACUCCUACGGGAGGCAGCAGAGGGGAAGAUUGCACAAUGGGGGCAAGCCGGAUGCAGCCAGGCCGCGUGUAUGAAGAAGGCCUUCGGGUUGUAAAGUACUUUGAGCGGGGAGGCGUUACCCGCAGAAGAAGCACCGGCUAACUCCGUGCCAGCAGCCGCGGUAAUUC
rnacentral:rRNA from 1 species